rnacentral:lncRNA from 1 species
CCAGUCAAUUUAAAUUUAGAUUCUACAAAGUUGAUCGAUCAUGCUGAAGAGCAGGACAUGUAAACUGCGACUGUUAUUAAUGGGUGUGUUGAAGAAGAGUCUUAUUUUCCAAAUCUUGUAAUCCCAAUCUAGUAUUACAACAUGUAUCCCGCAGAAUAUUUGAGAUGAGUAGAAUUUUCCAUAUGUUGUAAUCCCAUUCUAGUAUUACAACAUGUAUCCCGCAUAAUAUUUGAGAAGAGUAGAAUUGUCCAUAUGUUUUAAUCCCAUUCUAGUAUUACAACAUGUAUCCCACAGAAUAUUUGAGAAGAGUAGAAUGUUUCAUAUGUUGUAAUUCCAUUCUAGUAUUACAACAUGUAUCCCGCAGAGUAUUUGAGAAGAGUAGAAUUUUCCAUAUGUUGUAAUCCCAUUCUAGUAUUAUAACAUGUAUCCCGCAGAAUAUUUGAGAAGAGUAGAAUUUUCCAUAUGUUGUAAUCCCAUUCUAGUAUUACAACAUGUAUCCCGCAGAAUAUUUGAGAAGAGUAGAAUUUUCCAUACGUUGUAAUCCCAUUCUAGUAUUACAACAUGUAUCCCAGAGGGUAUUUGAGAAGAGUAGAAUUUUCCAUAUGUUGUAAUCCCAUUCUAGUAUUACAACAUGUAUCCCAACAGAAUAUUUGAGAAGAGUAGAAUUUUCCAUA